rnacentral:rRNA from 1 species
UACGGGGGGGGCGAGCGUUGUUCGGAAUUACUGGGCGUAAAGGGUUCGUAGGUGGCCUGCUAAGUCAGACGUGAAAUCCCUCAGCUUAACUGGGGAACUGCGUCUGAAACUGGCGGGCUUGAGGACUGGAGAGGAGACUGGAAUUCAUGGUGUAGCAGUGAAAUGCGUAGAGAUCAUGAGGAAGACCAGUGGCGAAGGCGGGUCUCUGGACAGUUCCUGACACUGAGACACGAAGGCCAGGGGAGCAAACGGG